GAAGGUAUAGCUCAGUGGCAGAGUAUGUGCUUAGCAAGCACAACGUCCUGGGUUCAAUCCCCAGUCCCCGUG
rnacentral:tRNA from 1 species